rnacentral:lncRNA from 1 species
UUUUUUUUUUUUUUUUUUUUUUUUGGUAAAUUGCCCAGUCUCAGGUAUGUCUUUAUCAGCAGCAUGUAAACAGACUAAUACAAUUGUCUUGAAUUUCAUCGAACUUCCUCUAAACAGCUAUUUCACAUACUCUGUCUGAAUGGUCACAUAUCUCUGCAUUCUGGCAUUGGUCAUUGGUGCCUUAUUUAGUUCAUUUGGUGACGUCAUGUUUUCCUUGAUUGUCUUGAUGCUUGUGGAUGUUUAUUCAUGUCUGGGCAUUAAAGAGUUAGGUUUUUAUUAUAGUCUUUGCAGUCUGGGCUUGUUUGUACCCAUCCUUCUUGGGAAAACUCUCCAGUCCUUCAAAGGGAAGUGUUGUGAUCUAAAUCUUUGGUCACUGCAGCUACAUCUGCAUUAGGAAGCACCACAAACCCAGUAACACUGUGACUCUUGCAGACUCAUAGAAGUACCACCUUGGUGGUCUUGGGUGUGAUACAGGAGAAUUUACUAGAUUACCAGGCAGAGCCUCUUGUUAUCUUCCAUUGCUUUUCCCCAAAGAAACAGGGUCUCUCUCUCCUUACUAAGCUAUCUGGAGCUAGGGGAACAGUGACACAAGUACCCUUGUGGCCACCACCACUUGGAGUGCACUAGGUCAGACCUGAAGCCAGCAUAGCACUAGGUCUCACCCAAGGCUUGUGGUGACCACUACCUGGCUAUCACUGAAAGCCAAGGCCCAAGGGCUCUUCAGUAAGCUUAUGGUGAAUGUUGCCAGGCCUGGGUCUCUAUCUUCAGGGCAAUGGGCUCUCUCCCCUGUGACCCAGGGCAGGUCCAGAAAUGCUAUCCAGGAGCCUGGAAUCGAGGACCCCAGGUGCUUACUUGGUGCUCUAUUCCACUGUAGCCAAGCUAAUACCUAAGCUGCAAGACAAAGUCCCCAUUAGUCUUAGGUUAAAUCUCUCCUUAUCUACGUCCAAACUCCCUCUCAUUUCCUCAAGCAGAAGGAGUCUCUCCUCAUGGCUACCAUAGCUAAGAAUGUGCUGGAUCACACCAGAAGCCAGCAUGACACUGGAUCUCACCCAAUACCUAUGGCAAAUACUGCCUGGGUACUGCUGCUGAUUAUUCAGGGCCAAAGGGCUCUUUAGUCAGCAGGUGAUGAAUCCUGCCUGGACUGAGUCCUUCCUUUCAAGGCAGCAUGUUGCUUCUGGUCC